CUGCUGGCUGGCCUGUGUACGACCCUCGGCGGGGAAAGGCGAAGGGCCCGAGAGUGUGGCGCCAGAACGAGGACGUCGCGCUCGGCUUUUGGAUCAGCCGCGGGGAGCGGCGAGGGCUGUUCAACGUGACGUGGGUGCGCAUCAACGACCGUGCCAUCAACAUGGCUUGCAUCUCGACCA
rnacentral:rRNA from 1 species